rnacentral:rRNA from 1 species
AUUGAACGCUGGCGGUAUGCUUAACACAUGCAAGUCGAACGAUGAGAAAGAGCUUGCUCUUUCGAUAGUGGCGGACGGGUGCGUAACGCGUAGGAAUCUACCUAUAGUGGGGGACAACUUAGGGAAACUUAAGCUAAUACCGCAUACGCCCUACGGGGGAAAGCAGGGGACCGCAAGGCCUUGCGCUCUUUGAGCGGCCGAUAUCAGAUUAGCUAGUUGGUGGGGUAAAAGCUCACCAAGGCGACGAUCUGUAGCGGGUCUGAGAGGAUGAUCCGCCACACUGGAACUGAGACACGGUCCAGACUCCUACGGGAGGCAGCAGUGGGGAAUUUUGGACAAUGGGGGCAACCCUGAUCCAGCCAUGCCGCGUGAGUGAAGAAGGCCUUCGGGUUGUAAAGCUCUUUCAGCCGGGAAGAAAUCGCAUGGGCUAAUACCCCGUGCGGAUGACGGUACCGGAAUAAGAAGCACCGGCUAACUACGUGCCAGCCGCCGCCGUAACAC